CCUACGGUAGGCAGCAGUGAGGAAUAUUGGUCAAUGGCCGAGAGGCUGAACCAGCCAAGUCGCGUGAGGGAAGACGGCCCUACGGGUUGUAAACCUCUUUUGUCGGGGAGCAAAGCGAACCACGUGUGGUUCAUUGAGAGUACCCGAAGAAAAAGCAUCGGCUAACUCCGUGCCAGCAGCCGCGGUAAUACGGGGGAUUCGAGCGUUAUCCGGAUGUUGUGGGUUUAAAGGGUGCGCAGGCGGAGGUGCAAGUCAGCGGUCAAAUUGCGGGGCGCAACCCCGUACUGCCGUUGAAACUGCAUCCCUUGAGUGCGCGAGAAGUAUGCGGAAUGCGUGGUGUAGCGGUGAAAUGCAUAGAUAUCACGCAGAACUCCGAUUGCGAAAGCAGCAUACCGGCGCGCAACUGACGCUCAUGCACGAAAGCGUGGGUAUCGAACAGGAUUAGAUACCCUAGUAGUC
rnacentral:rRNA from 1 species